UCAUUUUCACCUUUACUAUUUGCGAGUCUUUCCUCAGCCAAAAAGACACACUAACCCUAGAAUUUCUUUAAACCACCCACUCUGUGAAUUUUUCUCUCUUCAACAAGAUGAACAAGGGGAUAAUGAUGGGGUAUUUCCAACAUCUACCCGAAGAGAUUAUAUUAGACAUUCUCAAUCGAUUACCGACUGAAACGGUUCUAGAAUGCAAAUCCGUAUGCAGGACCAGGAGAAGUCUUAUUCGUCAUCCAACAUUCUCAAAGACGCAUUUACAUCAUCUCAAUCAUUCUACUGUUGAAUCUGAUAAGUUGGGUUUCAUUGUUUUAACAAUUAUAAUAGGUGGUGGGAGGGGGAUUGAGAAUUGUCAGUAUUUUGAAUAUAAUGAGAAUCAUGAAUCCAUCGACAGAAUUGAAAGACUUAAUUUUGACCUUCCGUUUGGUUGGGAUACUAGAAUUCUUGGUUCGUCCAAUGGUUUGAUCUGUCUCUCUCGAAGGUUGAAAGAGGAUAAAACUUAUAUUUGUAACCCUAUUACCAGAGAGUAUCUUAUGCUUCCAGAAAUUGUGAAGAGAGUUGGAAUGGGUGAUGGGGCAAAAGGAUUCGGUUACGUUCCUUCAACCAACGAGUACAAAGCUGUAACAAUAGUGUCCUACUACCAGGGCAAGUUUGGAGAAACUUACAUAUACACUCUAGGGAGUGGAAAUGGAUGGAGAAAUCUUGGAGAGUUUAAUUUUAGAUCCAGAGCGUAUCAGUGGGGACAUGGUAUCUUUGUCAAUGGAGCUCUUUAUUGGUGGGAUCAUCUAUUGAAAAUGAUUGUUAACUUCGAUUUGGCUGAGGAGAAGUUCUGCGAACAUCUUUCACCACCAGCACCUAUUUUGUCAAACAGUGAUUUUAAUGAUUUUUUUAGACCAUGUGUUUUGGAUGGAUGUUUGUGUUUUGCUAUUAAUCUACGUGACAAUGGAGCUACAUGUUGGGAUGUGUGGCUAUUGAAAAAGAAAGAUGAUAAUCAUGGCAUAAAAGAGCGAGACAGACAUCAGUCAUUGGGUUGGAGUAAAGUGUUUAGGAUAGCUGGCGCUCUUGGCUGGAAUUUGUUUGCUGUUACGAAGAGUUAUAGUGUCUUAACUUACGUCUGUAACAGUAUCAAGAUUAACGAACCGGAAGCUUCAACCUCAAAAGCAGUUGUGGAUUUUAAAGAAUACUAUGAUCAAGUUUUCCCUCACGAGAACACCUUAGUUUCGUUGAAAGAAUUAGGGGAAGAAGAUACGAAGAUAAUGGAGUCAGUUGAAAUUGCGAAAACAGAAUGCCAGCAUCAGCCCUUCAACCAGUUGUAGGAGGAUGAGACCCAGGAUACCUACUUAUAAACAGGUAAUCUUUGUUGAGAUUCAUUUUCAAAUUGGAUUAAUAUGUGUAGACUACUGUUAUUAUACAUAUGUCUUCGUAUGAACUUUAUAUGGGAGUGCUUUUACUUUCUGAAUUUAGGUUAAGCUGCAUUGCUAACUCUGCAGUGCACUUUGUAUGCUCUAGUAACUUAUCUUAUAAAUUACUAAAACUGAUUCAAUUAUGGAAAGUGAGGGCUUUCCCAGUAGUGUCGAGGUAUUAUAUUUUAGUAUUGCUUCAAAAUAUUAUUUGCCAGAUAGAGAUAGAAUCCAGAUUGAUAGUUUACCGUAGCAUUAGUGUUGUAUCACUAUCAUAUUACAAUAAAUUUCUAGUUUGAACAAAACCACCCAAGUUUGUCUUCAUUCAUCCAUAAAUUAAAUCUACAAACAAAGUUCUCUGUGACAAGUGAUAACAUGUUUCUCUUCUGUCGUUAACUUUAAUCAACCUAGUUGUUUGUCAUCGAUAUGCAUCUUUUCCAUCUCUAUGGGAAGGAUCAAUACACUAGGUACCUUGCAGGACUUGGAGCAAUUUUCCUUGACAGCAAGGAUUUUAACAUCUACUUUGACCACAAAAAAGAUUCAUGUUUGUGGUCACUUAUUCAGGGACUUUUUGAGAUAACUGCAUAACAAGGAUCGCUUGUUUACAAAUUUUUGGAUGUGCUACGUAUGCGUGCUUGAGAAUUUUUUUUUUUAAUAAUAGCAAGACUGAACAAAAAUCUUUUGAGGUUUUUGUUAGCCAGUAUAACUUUUUAUUCUUGAUCAGUUUGCUCUACACAGUAGUUGCUUGAAUUUGUUUGUUUUUAGCUCUUAAUUUGUUUCUUGUAAUAUAUGUUUUCUUUACUUAAGUUUUUGCGAAUGUACAAAAAGAGAUGUGAAUACAAUUAGUUGUUUCAAGGGGAUCCCAUGCAAACAUUACACCCCAAUUGAAGCUGGAGUUCCGAUAUUAUGUUACCUGAAGGAUGCAUUUGUUUCUCAUUUUUAUCAUCUUUCAUGAUCUACACUUUUGUUUUUUUGGUUUUCACAUUAAAGUUGUAUUUCUUAAAUAUCAGGUUUCUUUAUCGAAUGUUGAUUGAAAAUCUUGUGACUAGAUUUAGAGGUUGGAAGUUAAAAAUUGGAGCCCACAGUCGCAUAGUUAUCAUGUAAUAUUAAUGUCAUUACUGGCCCAAAAAGAGUUCAUAGAAUUUUUCUGUUUUCCCAGUGGAAGUAGCAGCAUUGUUGUGGCUAUCUUGAUUUAAAGAUUCAAAUCCUACCAAAUUUGCUACAGGAUUUAGCUUUAUACUAUAGUCUUUUACUGAUAGAAGCUGAUUUUCAUUUAAAACAAAAAAACAAACGAAAAAGCAGGAAGAUAUGUUUGUCAGGUACUUCAGGCUGUUUCACAAUUUCUUUAUAUUGUUCUUAUAUUUGUCUCAUUUACUAGCUACAAUAUUUGUUUACUAUUCUUUAAUUUUUCUGACAAUUUCUACUUGUACAGCAAGUAUGUAAACACCAGUUUCUAGUUCUUUUUUCCUUCCGGUCUGGCUGAUUCCCUGCUAUUUCAUUUGAUUGCUAGAUAGUUGGUAGAGACAACUUCAGGCCGUGGGUUUAGAACCUACAUGUUCUGUCAUUUCACUAGAGAGGCAUCUACCCUUCACUAAUGCAUUUUCGUUGUUAUAUUUGGCAGCUGAAGUUCUUGUUUGACUGUCCCAUGCAACAAAAUCAAGUAUUUCAUGUGUGACAAAACUUAAACUUAUCCAAGUGUAAACUGCCUAGUACUCCUUUUGUUUUGCAGACUUUUUCUUUCACCUCUGGAGAUUUUAUUCUCAGUUUUCUUUAUACCAAGCUGUACUCAUUAUUCUUCAUAGCUGAGACAAUAAUUCGUUACUCGGGGAGCUCUAGUUUUGGUCCUGUUUAUUCCUUGUUUUUCUUAACUUAUUUCCCUACCACAUUUAUCACCUUGAAUAUACACAAACAGGAUCUCUAUGAUUUUUUUUUUCAAUUUUGUUGCAUAAUAUAGAUGAAAUAAUAAUAGGCGCAGUAUAAACGUGAAAGCCAACUGUCGACUCUGUCUGAUUCGAGAAGUUGUUGACAUUGUUAGUUGAUAUUUGUAAUGUCUUUGUCUUCAAAUUGUUGUUUAUUGUUGUCACUGUCUUUUUUUUUUUAUAACUUUUACAUUACAGAACUUUUGAAAUGAAGAAAGACUUGUUCUUGGUUUGAUUAUGAAGUUUUUGCGUUACAACUUGACAGACACAAUGCAAGAGUGUCUGCCCAGAAAGAUAGAAAAAACUAUACCGAUCAUACCAAUUAGUCAACCUUAAUACUUCCGACUCUUUCUUUGGGCAUCAUUUUCAGAUUAAAUCCUGCACAAGUAUAAACAAAUAACUUAAAAUUUCAUCGUGAUCACCUGUUACACAUCUCUCUAAAUGUUGUCUUCCACAUGAAGCUCCAUUAUCCCAGAUGCCUUCACCUUCAGCCAAAAAUCAAUCCUAAAAUUUCUCUAAACCAUCUUCAUCUCUGUGAAUCUUCUCUGUUCAACAAGAAGAAGAGGAUUUUGAAUCUGAUGGAGUAUUUCAAUUGUAUGCCCGAAGAAAUUACAUUAGACGUUAUCAGUAGAGUACCAGCUGAGUCGAUUCUUGAGUGCAAAUUGGUAUGCAUGACUUGGAGAAAUCUUGUUUCUCACCAUCCAUUAUUCUUGAAGAUGCACUUACAACAUCAUCUUAAUCAUCCUGCUGCUGCUGAUUCUGGUAAGUUGGGUUUCAUUGCUUUGACUUUGGAUGAGAGUUUUCAAUAUUUUGUAUAUAAUGAGAAUCAUGAAUCCAUCGAGAGAAUUAGAAGGCUUAAUUUUAACCUUCCGUUUGGUGGGCAUACUAGAAUUCUUGGUUCGUCUAAUGGUUUGAUCUGUCUUUCUCGAAGAUUGAAAGAGGAAAAAACUUAUGUUUGUAACCCCAUUACCAGAGAAUAUGUUAUGCUUCCAGAAAUUGUUAAGAGAUUUGGAACGAGUCGUGGGGCGAAAGGAUUUGGUUACGUUUCUUCAACCAACGAGUACAAAAUUGUAACUGUGAUGUUCGAGAACUGGGGGUUUGUAGAAGCUUACAUAUACACACUAGGCAGUGGAAAUGGAUGGAGAAAUCUUGGAGAGUUUAAGUUUGGAUCCGAAGUACAUCUCUGGGAACAAGGUAUCUUUCUCAAUGGAGCUAUUUAUUGGUGGGACAGACUAUUGAAAAUGAUUGUUACCUUCGAUUUGGCUGAGGAGAACUUCUGUGAACAUCUUUCACCACCUGCAUCUUUUGAUUCAGGCAAUGAUGAUUUUAGAAAUUAUUGUAGACUAUGGGUUUUGGAUGGGUGUUUGUGUUUUGCUGGUUCUCUAGUUGUCGAUGGAAAUUGUAAACGUAUAUGUUGGAACGCGUGGCUAUUGAAAAAGAAGGAUGAUCAGUCAUUGGGUUGGAGUAAAGUGUUUAGGAUUUAUAACCAAGAAUUUUUUGCUGUUACGAAGAGGUACAGUGUCUUAACUUACAUCCAUAACAGUAUCACCAUCCACGACCCAGAAACUUCAACCACUAAAUAUAUUCUGGAUUUUGAAGAAUGUUUUGACGAAGUAUUCCCUCACAAGAACACCUUAGUUUCGUUGAAAGAGUUAGGGGAAGAAGAUACGAAAAUAAUGGAGUCAGUUGAAAUUGCAGAGACAGAAAGCGAUGAUCAGCCCUUCAACCAGUUGUAGGAGGAUGAGACCCAGGCUACCUACUUAUAAACAGAUUGCAGAUAUCUUCACAAGGCUCUACAUGGUCCUCAGUUCUCUAUAUUAAGAUCCAAGCUCAAGAUUCUUGCUUCUCCCACCUGUUUCUGAUUGACAGUUCUGGUGCUGUGGUGAAGGAUAACCCUUGCAGUGGUGUAGUUUAAGUUUCUGUGAUAACAGAAACUGUUAUUCACUGUCGACUCUUGUUUUUACUCUCCGUCACUGAGUGUAUUUGAAGUCAUUUCUGUAAUGAGAUUACUCUCAAGUUUCUCCAUUAAUAAAAUCAUCACCUUCACCAUGUUAUCAUGUAUCAUCUAGGGGGAAUCAUGGCCUGCAUGUUUUGGUGGUGGUGGUCUUUGUUGUACCGCAAAAGCAGAAUUUAAAGAUGGUUUGUGUAAUCAAUCAGAAAUUGCAAGUUUCCACCGUUUUUAGCCGACACAUUUUCUCCCUCUCAGCCGUUUUUUUCCGAAACAAUGACACCGUUAAAAUAGUCACGGGAUAGAUUUUGGAACCCAUAUCUCACAAAGCGAUUCAUUUUCUCCUUCACUCUUCUUUCCUCAGCAAAAAAAUCACUUAAACCCUAGAAUUUGUCUAAAACCCAAAAUCCGUUAGCAGUUCAAUAUGGAGAAGAAAGGGAUUUUGAUUGUCUUACCAUCAGAGGUUACCCUAGACAUUCUCGGUCGAUUACCAGUUGAAUGGGUUCUAGAAUGCAGGAGCUGGAGAAGUCUGAUUCGUCGUCCAUUAUUCUCAAAGAUGCACUUGCGACAUCAUCUUAAUCAUCCUACUGCUUCUGAUUCUGGUAAAUUGGGUUUCAUUGGUUUGACUUUUCAAGGUGAUGAGAAUGAGAAUUUUCGGUAUUUUGAAUAUAAUGAGAAUCAUGAAUCUAUCGAGAGAAUUAGAAGGCUUAAUUUGAAUCUUCCGUUUGGUGGGGAUACUAGAAUUGUUGGUUCAUCCAAUGGUUUGAUCUGUCUUUCUCGAAGAUAUUCAGAAGAUAAAACUUGUAUUUUUAACCCCAUCACCAGAGAGUAUGUUAUGCUUACAGAACUUAUUAAGAGAGUUGGAAUGGAUCGUUGGGUGAAAGGAUUUGGUUACGUUCCUUCAACAAACGAGUACAAAGUUGUAACAGUAAUGCUCGAUCACCGCAGCAAUUUUGUAGAAGCUUACACAUACACUCUAGGGAGUGGAAAUGGAUGGAGAAAUCUUGGAGAGUUCAAUUAUGGAAGCAAACCACAUCUUUGGGAACAAGGUAUGUUUGUCAAUGGAGCUCUUUAUUUGUGGGACUCUCCACUUAAAAUGAUUGUUGUGAACAUCUUUCACUGCCUGCGCCUGUUUUGUUAAACAGUGAUUUUAAUAAUUAUUGUAGACUAUGGGUUUUGGAUGGCUGUAUGUAUUUUUCUAUUGAUCUCGAUGUCAUUGGAACUAUGUGUUUGGACAUGUGACUAUUGAAAACGAAGGAUGAUAAUCACGGUAUGAAAGAGCGAGAAGGACACCAGUCAUUGGGUUGGAGUAAAGUGUUUAGGAUAACUGGCAGGCUUGGCAGCAAAUUGUUUGCCAUUACGAAGAGUUACAAUGUCUUAACUUACAACCAGAACAAUAUCAACAUUCAUGACCCAGAAACUUCAACCUCGAAAUAUAUUCUGGAUUGAUGAAGUAUUCCCUCACAAGAACACCUUAGUUUCGUUGAAAGAAUUAGGGGAAGAAGAUGCGAAGAUCAAGGAGUCAGUUGAAAUUGCGGAGACAGAACGCCACAGUCAGCCCUUCAACCAGUUGUAGAAGGAUGAGACCCAGGAUACCUAAUUAUAAACAGGUAAUCUUUGUUGAGAUUCAUUUUAGACUACUGUUAUGAUAUAUGUGUCUUUCUAUCAACUUUAUAUGGGAGUGUGCUCUUACUUUCUGAUUUAA